rnacentral:lncRNA from 1 species
GUCCCUGCACCUCCUGCCGCCCCCCCCCCCCAGCAGUAAAUAGUAUUAGGAUGAUUGACAAUACCCCUAUUUUUACAAAGUAUGCAUGAAUGGAAAAAACACAUUUUCUUCCUGUAAAUUGUUAUAGGUUCUGUUCAGGUGCCUGAUGAGAAAGGAAGAUCGAAGCCUUCAUUGCUGAACUUUUCCAUCCUCUGUUGGAAGGAGGAAGGGACCAGCAUAGCAUUCAGGAACCUCUGUUCUGAGGAGAUGACUGCAUUGUUCAGCUAUAUUUGAGCGCAGCAUCCAGGAUCCAGCACAUCAGAAAAGUAACUGCUUUACCUCCGCCAUUCUCAGAGCUGUGGCAGUGACUUCUGGAAGUGCAGCAGCUCUUGAAGAGGUCCAGAAUGCACAGCAUGUAGACUUUUGCUUCUGUGACAAUAGACACACACCUUCCAUCCUGGUCUGAUUUGAUGAGAUUGAGGUGAAACCCCGCUGCAGCUGCCAUGCCAACACUUAAACUUUGUGUACUGCAAGCCACCAUCACGUCAGAGAAGAUGCACCAGGCACAAGACCAUGAGGACAUCGGAUCCAAAGAGAGUAAGCUGGGAGUAUAAAGCAGAAUGGAACCAAAUUCAUCCACUGCAGUUGACGGUUACACUAGGGUCUGAAUUUGGCCCAGUGCAUUUAACCACCUUCACCAUGUUCCUGUGA